rnacentral:rRNA from 1 species
AGAGUUUGAUCCUGGCUCAGAUUGAACGCUGGCGGCAGGCCUAACACAUGCAAGUCGAGCGGGAACUUCGGUUCUAGCGGCGGACGGGUGAGUAAUGCGUAGGAAGCUACCCGAUAGAGGGGGAUACCAGUUGGAAACGACUGUUAAUACCGCAUAAUGUCUACGGACCAAAGUGUGGGACCUUCGGGCCACAUGCUAUCGGAUGCGCCUACGUGGGAUUAGCUAGUUGGUGAGGUAAUGGCUCACCAAGGCGACGAUCCCUAGCUGGUUUGAGAGGAUGAUCAGCCACACUGGAACUGAGACACGGUCCAGACUCCUACGGGAGGCAGCAGUGGGGAAUAUUGGACAAUGGGCGCAAGCCUGAUCC